rnacentral:misc_RNA from 1 species
CCCUGGCCUAGAAGCAAACAUCCAUACAGAAUUUUCUCGUAAUUGACUCUGUGAAAAGCCAAGAAACUCGAAUUUCUUCUCUCCAAUGACAAUACCAUUUCUCAGUAUUGACAGUAUCCUUUCAUAAAUUUUUGUUCGCCUUUCCUCAUUGACAGACGAUGUUCUAGGAGAUAAAUUUGUUGAAUAAAGUCUAUCUAGAUCCUCAUCAACAAAUGAAAUGCGAAGAAAAUUCUUGAUAUCAUCGGGAUAAUUGCGCAAAACGCGAUUGGAGAGGUUCACUUCAGGACCACAGAAAUAUACUUUAGCAGGGGUU